CUACGUGCCAGCAGCCGCGGUAAUACGGAAGGUCCAGGCGUUAUCCGGAUUUAUUGGGUUUAAAGGGAGCGUAGGCUGGAGAUUAAGUGUGUUGUGAAAUGUAGACGCUCAACGUCUGACUUGCAGCGCAUACUGGUUUCCUUGAGUACGCACAACGUUGGCGGAAUUCGUCGUGUAGCGGUGAAAUGCUUAGAUAUGACGAAGAACUCCGAUUGCGAAGGCAGCUGACGGGAGCGCAACUGACGCUGAAGCUCGAAGGUGCGGGUAUCGAACAGGAUUAGAUACCCUGGUAGUCCGCACAGUAAACGAUGGAUGCCCGCUGUUGGUACCUGGUAUCAGCGGCUAAGCGAAAGCAUUAAGCAUCCCACCUGGGGAGUACGCCGGCAACGGUGAAACUCAAAGGAAUUGACGGGGGCCCGCACAAGCGGUGGAGCAUGUGGUUUAAUUCGAAGCAACGCGAAGAACCUUACCAGGUCUUGACAUCCCUCUGACCGCUCUAGAGAUAGAGUUUUC
rnacentral:rRNA from 1 species